CAAAAAUGUUUCAUCAUGUUUAAAAACUUUAUGUACAGAAUUCGGUUCCCUAAAGGAUGUUGUUGCUAAUUCUAAAUCAACUGCUAAGAUGAACAACAACAAGAAAAAGUUAAACCGUUUUCCUGACCUACGGAGAGCGAUGCCACCAACCUCGGCUAUGGAAAAUGUUUCACACUCUCAAACUGACAUGGUUGCUAAAUCGUCGGUUCUGUCAUUGGCUGAACCUUCGGCUUUUGAGAGUUCUGCGAUUGUUAACAAUGCACCCUCACUUACUCCAGCUGAGGCGGAUAAUAAUGAUACUUCGGAUGCUUUGCCGUCGGUUUCUCAACAAAUGCGAACUGCAUUAUCAGCUAAUAUGAUAACAGCAAACAAUGCUUCUUCAUCUUCUCCUGCUGACGUGAAUAAUGUCACUUCUGUCGCUGUGUCAUCAGCUUCUAAACAAAUGCCGACUGCGUUAUCAACUGCAUUGGCUACGGUUACUAAAACAUCUUCACCUUCCACUGCUGUUGUAAAUGCUACUCACAAUGCUUUGCCAUCUGCAUCUAAACAACUGCCAACUGCUUCGUCAGAUAUAUUAAAUGCUUCUACCCAGCCGCAACUCGGGGCUAAUUGGAUUACUGUGCCGCGAAAGAAAGUGCCCAAGCGGAGAAAUGUCGUGGUUGGCCGUAAUGAAAAUAAUGAUCUGGGAGUAUUUUCGCGUUUUAAGUGGCUCCAUUUAUCAUCGUUCAAGCCAACGGUUUCGGAAGUCGAUAUUAUUAAUUACGUGUCGAAUCAAGUCAUCGUUGAUAAGCAACAAAUUGCCUGCUAUAAACUGGUAAAGAAGGAUACAAAUGAGACAGCCCUUAAAUAUAUCAACUUCAAAUUGGGAGUUCCUGAACAUGUAUAUUUUAAUUUGCUGAAGCCAGAAAUCUGGCCAACAAAUGUUAAUAUUCGACAGUUCCGUUUUUUUCAAAAACAGGGAGGGCAACUGCCCCCGGCAUAGUUGCUUCUCCCAGGCCGAACAAGCACAUUAAACUCUAUUUUGAAAACGCCUCUGGACUCCGGACUAAGGCCGAUACUGUUCGAAUGCUAAGUGCGCACUUGGAGUAUGAUAUUUUUGUUAUCGUUGAGACUUGGCUCAAUGCAAAUUUUUUCGAUGCGGAGUUUUUCGACCCGAAUCAGUACGAUGUCUUUCGUAAAGACAGAGAUCCCAUUAAAACCGGAUGUAGCCGAGGUGGGGGAGUUUUAAUUGUGGCCCGUACUAAUCUCCAAGCUUCGUUUCUACCUCUUCAAAAUGAAGACACUAUCAUCGAUCAACUUUGUGUUCGUGUCAGUGGUUCCCUUGGAUUGCUGUAUAUUUGCGCCUCUUAUAUACCUCCACUUAGCUGUGCUAACUUAUACAUGUCGCAUGUUGACAAUGUGUUAGCUAUUCAUCGUAAUAUUGGGGACAACCAACUUUGUGUGCUUGGAGAUUUCAACUUAAGCAAUACAUAACUCUACCGCCGAGCGCAAAAAGUACAUCGGAGCAACCAUUAAGUGGCGAAACAUCGGCCUUUUUGCAAAGCACAUCUUUAAUGUUUGAGGCACAGGGGCGAAAUUAUCAAAUGAAAAAUGAGAGAGGAACAAUAAAUUUUCUGACGGAACAUGUUGUUGCUACAUUCGACAAUUGUAAGAUUUCUUAUAGAAAUUCCGUAAGAAUAAUAUCAGCUGUCGCGAUGGCCCUUAGAGUAGAUACUGAUAAUUUAAUUCUUAACAAGACUUCGUUUAAUGAACGUAGGUCGAAAAUUCGGAAAGAUGCUGCUGAACGUAUGAAGAAGUUAUUUGGUGACACUGAGGUUGGAGCUGCGGUGGUUCAUUGGGAUGGAAAAUUAAUACCAGAUGGACUAUCUAGUAAAAAGGUUGACCGAGUGCCUACAUAUAAUAAUUCGAAGCAUGACCGUUGAAAAAAUAUUAAACGUACCGGCAUUACCGGUUGGAAGAGGAAUAACUCAGGCUCAGGAAAUUUUCAAGAGUGUACAAGAAUGGGUAUUAUCUGACAAUAUCCAAAUCUUGUUUGUCGAAAUGGAGCAGCAACCAAUUUAGAGCAGUUUUUACAAAAAGAUCUUCUGUAUUUACCUUGUAGACAUCACAUCUACGAAUUGGUCUUAAAUUUUGUUUUUGUGACAAAAUUUCCGGGAACUGAUGGGCCAAACGUUCCUCUGUUUAAACAAUUUCAGGAAACUUGGAAUGUAAUUGAUCAAACUAAAUAUAAUAACGGUCUUACAAGAAAUAAAAUUCCUAAAAAACUGUUAGCAAAAGUUGAAAAAACAAAUGAAACGAUCAAAAACUUUCUAAGUGAAAUUCUGCCUCGCGAUGAUUAUAAAGAGCUUUUGGAGUUGUGUCAAAUUUUUCUUGGCACGAUGGAAGCUGAUAGUGUGAAAUUUUAUAAACCAGGAGCAUUUCACCAUGUCCGCUGGAUGUCAAAAGCGAUCUAUUCGCUGAAAAUAUUCAUUUUCCGGGACAUUUUUGAGGUAGAUCGAGCACUGCAACAAAGUCUUUUGGAUAUUUGUUUAUUCAUAGUAUUUGUUUACGUGCCAUUUAGGUUUACGGCACCUCUUGCAGCAUCGGCUCCAUAUCAAGACUUGAAUUUUGUAAAAACUGUACAUCAAUACAAGACGAUUGAUAAGAAACUUUCUGAAGCAGUCUUGCACAAAUUCAAAAAUCGUUUGUGGUAUUUGAAUGCUGAAGCUGCUGCUCUGGCUUUUUUCGAUCCGAAUAUACCGAUUUUUAUGAAACAUAAAAUGAUUGAAGCAUUAAAAUGCCAUGAAGAUAUGGAUUUUGAUUACCCUAAACGCUACGUAGUGAAUUCAGACAGUGAAAUUAUCAAUUUACAAAAAAGAGAUAUUUACUUUUUUAUUAAUUCUAAUUCGAGUAAAUAUUUUGAUCCAUUCAACAUAAAUAAAAAAUUUUUAGAGUGUGAUGUUGAAAAAUGGUCAACUAAUGAUGAUUACUUAGAAGGUUUGGAUAUUGUAAAUAAUCUGCAAGUUAUUAAUGAUGUAGCUGAGAGAGCAGUUCAGUUGACUCAAGAUUACAUCAAUAUUUUGACUACUAAAGAAGACCAAAAACAUUAUUUAAUACAAGUUGUACGUGAAUACAAGGAUACUUACCAUAACGCUACAAAAAGCUGCUUAACAACGAAACGUGAUUAAAAAGACAAAAAAAUAUUAAUAAUACAUCGUAAUAUUAGUUGUAAUGCAUUGUUUCCGUUAUUGUCACUGAAAAGAUUGGUCAAUAAAAUUG